rnacentral:rRNA from 1 species
UACAGAUGCCUCGAGCGUUAGGCGGAAUCACUGGGCUUAAAGCGUGUGUAGGUGGAGUUCUAAGUACCUUGUGAAAUCCCACGGCUCAACCGUGGAACUGCUGGGUAUACUGGUUCUCUUGAGGUACCUAGGGGUGAGCGGAACAAGUGGUGGAGCGGUGAAAUGCGUAGAUAUCACUUGGAACGCCAACGGUGAAAACAGCUCGCUGGGGGUAUCCUGACACUGAGACACGAAAGCCAGGGGAGCAAACGGG